rnacentral:lncRNA from 1 species
ACCGCUCUUGAACCGCUAGUAGCCGGGGUGGUGCCGGGUGUGACGUACUCACACGUGGGACUCGAGCCAGAGCUCAGAGGAGUAGCUGAGCCGGGCCCACGGGUGGGGAGGGUAUGAGUAAAACCGGUCGGGGUGCCCAACACACGGCCAUUUCUGCCCGCAUCGAACAUUCUCCUGGCGGGGCGGGGGCCCAGUGGGAGCUGCUACGCGGGGGUGGGCUUGUCCCUUCCUCCCC